GGAAAUUGUCCUAAUAGCUUUUUCUGUUUGCAUACGGCCAGGAAAGAAAAUCUCCAAAGAGCAAAAGCUGCACGGGAAGAGCACCGCGGCCUGCGAAAAGGACGCAGGCACUGGCGUACCUGUUUGACCUGAUGCCAGGCCUCCUCCCACUGUUUAAUUUUCCUCUUGGCUUCAUCCAGUUCCCGAAAGAGACGCGAGACGUCGCCGCUGCCCGUCAGGCUGCUGAAGACCGGAGACGGACUUGGUGAAAAGCUGCCGCUCACAAAGUCCCAAAUGCUGCUGGCGCCGUUUAAGCCUGGACGGGUGGAAAAUGGCAACAAACAUUUUUUGAGUCACGACGACUACAAAUCCUUCAGUUGAUAUCCGUGGGAAGCGGUUGAUGGCGCCACUAAUCUCAGCGCAAAAGGAUUUAUGUUAAUGAGCUGACUGGAGUCAAGCUCAGAAUAUUUAAACUCUUGACUAGCAGUUCAAAUAAAUAAUUUUCCAAGCAGCGUUUAGAUGAGUAAAUAUUAAAUCUAAGGGAAAUUCCAGUACCAGUAUGAUCUUGUUUUACCGGAAUAAUAUAAUCAACUUUCCUAUUCUAAACGUUACAAAGAUUCAAACCAUCUGAGUAUUUCUACUAUUUCCCACUGACCUAAGGAAUUCUGGGAAGAAGAAGUAGGCGUUCCCAGCAAGCCAUGCUCGUGCUUGGCCAACAUGUUAGCCGUGUGGUUGUGAUGCGACACGGCGCCGGACAGCAGUGACUGCGACUGCGACAGUGAGCUCAGCGGCGAGGUGGACAGCGACGACGAGGAGUUGAAGGAGGACGAGCGCGCCAGCGAGCCGGGAAUGUUGACCGGGGCCGAGCCACCGAGCAUUCUUUGACCUGCGAUGGGCGCGAUGCGAUAAAGUGCUCCUUCUCAAGCGACGCAACGUUGAUGUCACAAAAGUUGAGGUCCAGAGCCGAUCCUGAGUGGGGAUCAGAAGUUUAAAAGGAUUUUCAUUUUUUUUUUUUUAUAAAUAAAUAUUCGACAUCCUCAUACCUAUAACCGAUUCCACUGUGUUGCUCCCGGGAUAAAAGGGAGUGGCUUUUGCGUUCAUGGUGGACAAGGUGGUCGGGGAGGAGCUGUCCGAGCCAAUGCUGGAGGCCAAGCUGGACGUUAUGCUGGAGGUGAAGCUCGACGCCAGCGGGUUCACAGCGCAGAAAACGCUAUUUUGUGUCUGAACGGGGUCGGAGGGGACAUGCAGAGUGCAUGAUUUAAUUUCUUACAACCACAAAAAGAAUAUGGACACAUUGUAACAGUACAUACACUGGCCACUUGUCCGUUGCUGGUGUUGGAGCCGCCGGCCGUCGUCCACUCGCCGAGUGGACACUCGGAAUACUGCUGAGAGCCCGGCUGGGAAUGCGAGCUGGAAUGUAUCGCCGUUAGCAACGAGCUCAUGGUGUCCUCGGCGGAGUGGAUUCCUGAGGGGGGGGGGGACGUGACGGAAUGAGACGGAGCCCCUAUCUCAGGUGACUUUGAGCGAAAGCUAGCUGGACUGCUUCCUAGUCAACUUCAGAGAUCUUUUUACAAUAAAACACACAUCUGUCCAAAACUGCUGAUGCAGACAUUUUCUAAGAAACAGGAAGUCACCCGCAGACUACAAACAAAGUGAAAACAUUUUGUUAACAUUUCGACAUUGCCUGCGCUCCAUUUGGUGCCAUUCCAGUGAUUGUUUAUUCAAACUUUUAUGAUACUUUGUGUAAAUUUGUCUCCUGUUAUUUAUUACUGUAAAAGUGCAAACUUGAAUGACUCACUUUCCACGUGUGCAAAGGCACAAAAUGGCCCCCGGGGACAGUAGCCGGUUUGUCGCAUGUCGUUGCACUUGGUGGAUUUGUAGAUCUCGAAGUGGGGG